rnacentral:ncRNA from 1 species
GAGGACAGAAGUUUCUCGCAAUUAAAAUUUAUCAGUUUUACUUUCUGCUCUCUGGAAACGCCUGCUUCUUUUUUCCCCGAGAGCAUUUUUUCGCAUUCCGAUUUGGUUAACUUUGUUUUUUGAGUACCUUGUCCAGUUAGUAGGAGUGCCACCUUCCUUUUCAAUAGUGGCGGUAAUUUU